CAAGGUUUGACAUCCUAGGAAUUUCUGUGAAAGCAGAGAGUGCCUUCGGGAACCUAGUGACAGGUGUUGCAUGGCCGUCGUCAGCUCGUGUCGUGAGAUGUUUGGUUAAGUCCAUUAACGAGCGCAACCCUUAUGAUUAGUUGGAUUUUUCUAAUCAGACUGCCCCGGCAACGGGGAGGAAGGAGGGGAUGAUGUCAGGUCAGUAUUACCCUUACACCUUGGGCUACAAACGCGCUACAAUGGCUGGUACAAAGGGCAGCGAAGUCGCGAGACGGAGCAAAUCCCAUCAAAGCCAGUCCCAGUUCGGAUUGCAGGCUGAAACUCGCCUGCA
rnacentral:rRNA from 1 species